AUGAGUUUUGCAUUAUGCAGCUGUAAGAUGUGAAUUUCCCAUGGAUUGUCCUCUUCAUGAUAGCUUACUAAGGGUGCAUUACAAGGGAAUGCUUCUUAAUGAAGAGAAGACAGUGUUUUAUGAUACAAGAGUGGAUAAUGAUGGCGAGCCUUUGGUAUUCAGUUCCGGAGAAGGGCUUGUGCCCGAGGGAUUUGAAAUGUGUGUUCGCUUAGUGCUUCCUGAAGAGAUCUCGCUUGUUACUUGCCCUCCAGAUUAUGCAUAUGAUAAGUUUACAAGGUCAAUUUUCUAAACCAAUUGGCUAUCUUGGUUUCUGAACAAAACACUUGAAAA